rnacentral:rRNA from 1 species
CCCUUAGAUGUUCUGGGCCGCACGCACGCUACACUGAUGCAUUCAACGAGUCUAAAACCUGGUCUGAUAGGGCUGGGUAAUCUUUUGAAAGUGCAUCGUGAUUGGGAUAGAUGAUUGCAAUUCUUCAUCUUCAACGAGGAAUGCCUAGUAAACGCAAGUCAUCAGCUUGCAUUGAUUACGUCCCUGCCCUUUGUACACACCGCCCGUCGCUCCUACCGAUUGAAUGAUCCGAUGAAUACCAUGGAUUGAGAGUACGAAUGGGUUCGCUCAUUUCUGCUGCUCGAGAAGUGGAGUAAAUCUUAUCAUUUAGAGGAAGGAGAAGUCGUAACA